GACGAACGCUGGCGGCGUGCUUAACACAUGCAAGUCGAACGGAAAGGCCCUGCUUUUGUGGGGUGCUCGAGUGGCGAACGUGUGAGUAACACUUGAGUAACCUGCCCUUUACUUUGUUAUAACUUCAGGAAACUUGGGCUAAUACCUGAUAGGAUCUCCUGCUGCAUGGUUGUGGUUGGAAAUUUUCGGCUGUUGGGGAUUGACUCUCUGCUUAUCAGCUUGUUGGUGGGGUAGUGGCUUACCAAGGCUUUGACGGGUAGCCGGCCUGAGAGGGUGACCGGCCAAAUUGGGACUGAGAUACGGACCAGAAGCCUACGGGAGGCAGCAGUGGGGAAUAUUGCACAAUGGGAGGAAGCCUGAUGCAGCAACGCCGCGUGCGGGAUGACGGCCUUCGGGUUGUAAACCGAUUUCGCCUGUGACGAAGCGUGAGUGACGGUAAUGGGUAAAGAAGCACCGGCUAACUACGUG
rnacentral:rRNA from 1 species